AGCGAACGCUGGCGGCAGGCUUAACACAUGCAAGUCGAACGCCAUCUUCGGAUGGAGUGGCAGACGGGUGAGUAACGCGUGGAAACAUACCUUUUGCUUCGGAAUAUUCCCGGGAAACUGGGAGCAAUACCGAAUACGCCCUGAGGGGGAAAGAUUGAUCGGCAAAAGAUUGGUCCGCGUUAGAUUAGGUAGUUGGUAGGGUAAUGGCCUACCAAGCCUACGAUCUAUAGCUGGUCUGAGAGGAUGAUCAGCCACAUUGGGACUGAGACACGGCCCAAACUCCUACGGGAGGCAGCAGUGGGGAAUAUUGGACAAUGGGCGAAAGCCUGAUCCAGCCAUGCCGCGUGAAUGAUGAAGGCCUUAGGGUUGUAAAAUUCUUUCACCGGGGACGAUAAUGACGGUACCCGGAGAAGAAGCCCCGGCUAACUUCGUGCCAGCCGCCGCAGUAG
rnacentral:rRNA from 1 species